UACGGAGGAUGCGAGCGUUAUCCGGAUUCAUUGGGUUUAAAGGGUGCGCAGGCGGGCCUUUAAGCCGGCGGUGAAAUCGCGGGGCUCAACCCCGCCGAGCCGUCGGAACUGGGGGCCUUGAGUGCGGCGGAGGCAUGCGGAAUGCGCGGUGUAGCGGUGAAAUGCAUAGAUAUCGCGCAGAACCCCGAUUGCGAAGGCAGCGUGCCGUGCCGCCACUGACGCUGAGGCACGAAAGCGUGGGGAUCGAACAGG
rnacentral:rRNA from 1 species